GACGAACGCUGGCGGCGUGCUUAACACAUGCAGGUCGAACGAUGAACCGGAGCUAGCUCUGGGGAUUAGUGGCGAACGGGUGAGUAACACGUGGGCAACCUGCCCCAGACACCGGGAUAACCAUUCGAAAGGAUGGCUAAUACCGGAUACGACCACUUCGGGCAUCCGAUGGUGGUGGAAAGGAUUCUGGUCUGGGAUGGGCCCGCGGCCUAUCAGCUUGUUGGUGGGGUAAUGGCCUACCAAGGCGACGACGGGUAGCCGGCCUGAGAGGGGGACCGGCCACACUGGGACUGAGACACGGCCCAGACUCCUACGGGAGGCAGCAGUGGGGAAUAUUGCGCAAUGGGCGAAAGCCUGACGCAGCGACGCCGCGUGAGGGACGAAGGUCUUCGGAUUGUAAACCUCUUUCAGCAGGGAUGAAGCGAAAGUGACAGUACCUGCAGAAGAAGCACCGGCUAACUACGUGCCAGCCGCCGCCGUAA
rnacentral:rRNA from 1 species